rnacentral:rRNA from 1 species
GUGGAUUAGAUACCCUAGUAGUCCAUGCCGUAAACGUUGGGAACUAGAUGUAGGGACCAUUCCACGGUUUCUGUGUCGCAGCUAACGCAUUAAGUUCCCCGCCUGGGGAGUACGGCCGCAAGGCUAAAACUCAAAGGAAUUGACGGGGGCCCGCACAAGCGGCGGAGCAUGCGGAUUAAUUCGAUGCAACGCGAAGAACCUUACCAAGGCUUGACAUAUACGAGAACGGGCCAGAAAUGGUCAACUCUUUGGACACUCGUAAACAGGUGGUGCAUGGUUGUCGUCAACU